rnacentral:lncRNA from 1 species
UUCUCACUUCGGAAUUCGCACACACUCUAACCAGGAGCAACUAAGACCCCAAACCGUUACAAAUUCCCGGAUUGGAUCACAAUCGUACUUUCGGUAUACUAUCAAUCGCACGACACGUUUUAUCGAGCACACGUAUCACUACCGGCUACUAUGCACCUAAUGCAAGUCACCAAUCCCACGAGUGAUCCAUGGUAUACUUCACACCUAGCAAUGCUUAAGUGCUACUGCCAAUACACUCUUUUAACUGAACUUAACCCGCACUCCACGAGCAACUAUACUCGAACGUCAUACACCUCUAUAGCAUUCCACACUAAGUCCAGU